rnacentral:rRNA from 1 species
GUGAGGAAUAUUGCGCAAUGGAGGCAACUCUGACGCAGCCAUGCCGCGUGCAGGAAGAAGGCGCUACGCGUUGUAAACUGCUUUUAACCGGGAAGAAACCCCAGGACGUGUCCUGGGUUGACGGUACCGGAGGAAUAAGCACCGGCUAACUUCGUGCCAGCAGCCGCGGUAAUACGAAGGGUGCAAGCGUUAUCCGGAUUCAUUGGGUUUAAAGGGUGCGUAGGCGGAGCGUUAAGUCAGUGGUGAAAUCCUGCAGCUUAACUGUAGACUUGCCAUUGAUACUGGCGCUCUUGAGUGCGCUUGAAGUGGGCGGAAUGUGCCGUGUAGCGGUGGAAUGCUUAGAUAUGGCACAGAACACCAAUUGCGAAGGCAGCUCACUAAGGCGAUACUGACGCUGAGGCACGAAAGCGUGGGGAUCGAACAGGAUUAGAUACCCGUGUAGUCC